UAACAUGAGAGUUUGAUACUGGCUCAGGAUGAACGCUGGCGGCGUGCUUAACACAUGCAAGUCGAACGAAGCACUUUAUUUGAUUUCCUUCGGGACUGAUUAUUUUGUGACUGAGUGGCGGACGGGUGAGUAACGCGUGGGUAACCUGCCUUGUACAGGGGGAUAACAUUUGGAAACGGCUGCUAAUACCGCAUAAGCGCACAGCAUCGCAUGAUGCUGU
rnacentral:rRNA from 1 species